rnacentral:snoRNA from 1 species
GAGCAAUGAGGAUAGUUGUGUUAUUUGUGAUAGAUGGGUCUGUCACUAAUGUCUUCAUCAGACAAAAGUGAACACAUCUGAGCUC